CUAUACUAAAUUCAGAAGAAACAUCAAUGAAUUUAUAUAUAUAAACUGGAGGUGCGACCAUGAUUUGAUAAAGCAGAGAAAUUAAGAAGGGGAGAUCAAUGGGUAUGUCUCUUGUUUACCGAUGUGUGAUACUAUUAUCGAUUGUGUUCGUUGCCUCCAUUCUCGUUAUCAUUCAGUCCACUGAAGCUUCUUCAGAUAUGAAGAUGAGGAAGCUGGGUGAUUUGCCAAAUUCACCUCCUGCACCCAUCGGCUCUCAUCAUUUGUCUCCGCGUCGUGGCCAUGGCCGCUAGUCAUUUAUCUUCAUACAGGCAUACAUAUAAACUGAAUUAAAUUUACUCUUACAUUAUCACGCAAGCAAUCUCUUUGUAUUGUUGAGAUAAUGUGUCCCAAAUUAACGGGGGCAAGAUCUUGUUAUUUUAUGGAGGAAAUGAAUAAAUUUUCAAAUAGGCAUGCAAUUAAA